ensembl:lncRNA
AUGGAGCAAGAACAAUGCAAAGAAAAGAAAAAGAAGAAGAAGAAGGACACUAGUAGUGAGAGUGAUGAGUUAAACUCUUCAUCAUCUUCUUCCCUCCCUUCAUCUUCAUCGGAAGAUGAAAGAUGCAGCAAAAAAAAAUCAAAAAAGAAGAGAACCCAAAAGAAACGGUCAAGAUCUGCAUUCUCUAGUUCUGCAGUAAGAGGUAAAUUCAAAAGACACUUAUUAAUUUGAAUUUAUUCUUGAUGAAGAUGAUUUCGCCUGAUGUUUUCAUAGGCAGAGCGUGUGUAGGAAGGCUGGGGAAGGCUUAUUCAUUCCACCACAGCAAAAAUGCUGGCAGCAACAACACUGUAGCCAGUAUAAAAGUUAUGCCUUCUUUUUUUGUGUAUACAUUUGGGUGGAAUUAUGAAACUCUGCCCCCACAGACUGAUGUAGAUUUGUGGGGGCGUGUUUAAACGAGUCAUUUUAGGAGGCAUGGCUGAGCCUUAACGUUUAUAAAGAAUAUAAAGAAUCUCUUUGGGUUUGAGACUUUGAGCUUUGUAACUCAGCAGAUCUUAUACAUGCAGAAACAGUUACAUAACACACUGAAGAAAAAUGAAACUCAUUUGACCCCUUUAAGGUAGAAUACGCUCACCAUAAAUAUAGAAGUUAUCCAAAGGUAAAAGAUGAAAAACCACACUCUCAAGAUAUCCUUCCAUAAAUUUUUUCGUACCAUGUCUUACACAGAUUAAUUUCGGCCUAAGCCAUCAACAGUGUGCCACAAAUUUAUGAAAGGAUAUCUUGAGAGUGUGGUUUUUCCUCUUUUACCUUUGGAUAACUUCUUUAUUACUCGCACCCAUUAAAUGACCUGGGAGUUGAGCGUGCCUUCUCCACUAUAAUUCAAGGCUAAAUAAAAUCUUAAUUGUACAGUCAGCUUAAUUGAUUAACAGAAUUUUGUGAGAUUGCAAUUAAUUAAGAUGAGUGACAGCUUAAUGAUAAUAAAGGGAGUGCUUUUAUGUACACUUUCUAGAUGAUAAUCAACUCAAAAAUGUUUUUUUUUUUUUUUUUGUGCUGCAUUAGGUAAGGCAGUGGUGAGGACAGUGGUUCUCAAUCCGUGCCAUCGUGCCCCCAGCCCGCUCUGCACAUUAUGGAUGUUUCUUAUUUAACACAUCUGAUUCAGAUCAUCAGCACGUUAGAAGAGAGCCACUUGCAUGAACUGUGUUCUGAUUAACUGCGUAAUCCCUAGUGUUCACUUUUCCCUACUCGCCGAGCAUGGGAAAUCCAUUAAAAUGUAUUUCAUUUCAGAAAACUUUCAUUCAUGGUAUUCAGUGUCUUCACACAUACAAAACUUACUAGAGAAGUGUGAAGUGUAACAUAAAAUACCUUCAUAAAUAAAAAAAAAAUGUAAAUUCACGUCUUGCGUACUUAAAUGCAUUUUAAAUGGAACAAUGGUAAAAUUUUCUUCACAAGGCACUUAUGGUAAAAAAGAACAAACAACUGAAGUGAUAAGAGAUUCAUAUAAAAUGUGGGGGGGUGAGGGGUUUGCGCCAUUCCAAAUCAUGCAUAUGCUUGCUUCAAAUUAUAAUGAUUUGUGAAAAUAACCACUUUAAUAACGAGUGUUUAUGUUAGGAUGUGUAGGUUGUUGAUAGGAGACACAGAACCAUUUUAUGACAUACUAUUUGAAUGUGUUUUUAAGGAGGAAUCGCAUCUAUCCUUACCCUAAAGUUGGUUCACCCUCUGCCUAUGGAUGUUUUGUAAAAUUUGUAAUGCAUUGACAAACUGGGUAUCACUUUCAGUGUCCUUGUUAGACAUUAAAUGUAGCACCUUUAGUGAUAACUAUGAAUUAUGGAUAAUUACAUGCAACUGAACCUAAACCAAAGUCUAACCCUCUAACAAGUAAGUGCUUGUUGUUAUUUAGUAUUACUUAGUACUAAAAUGUAUAACGCUGUAACAAGAAGACCUUAAAAUGUAGUGUCACCACAAACGGUUUACUUAUUUUAUUUUUUUACAUUUAACAGCCAGGUGUCCAGAUGAUGUUCUCAAGAGAUACAAAAAAGUUCUCCGUGCGUUUAAAAAGGAAGGAAGCAUGACAAGAGCAUUCAUGAAGGUCGGAGUGGACAGAAACACCCUUGCCCUCACUGCAGUUGUGGCUGAGAUUCAAAUUAUCAGCCCAGAAUUUUAUCGCUCCAUCCCUCAGUUCCAGCCUCGUCAAGAGAAGCUUUUUGAUUUUGCCCUGAGGUGCUCAGAUGCCUUGACAACUG